rnacentral:rRNA from 1 species
ACGGGGGGAGCAAGCGUUGUUCGGAUUUACUGGGCGUAAAGGGCGCGUAGGCGGCCAGCGCAAGUCAGUUGUGAAAUCCCCGGGCUUAACCUGGGAAUGGCAUUUGGGACUGCAAGGCUCGAGUGCGGCAGAGGAGACUGGAAUUCCUGGUGUAGCAGUGAAAUGCGUAGAUAUCAGGGGGAACACCGAUGGCGAAGGCAGGUCUCUGGGCUGACACUGACGCUCAUGCACGAAAGCGUGGGGAGCAAACAGGA